rnacentral:rRNA from 1 species
GACGAACCGUGCGAACGUUGUUCGGAAUCACUGGGCUUAAAGGGCGCGUAGGCGGGCCGGACAGUCUGUGGUGAAAGCCCCCAGCUUAACUGGGGAAGUGCCAUGGAUACUGCCGGUCUUGAGGAGGGUAGGGGCAUCUGGAACGCUGGGUGGAGCGGUGAAAUGCGUUGAUAUCCACAGGAACUCCGGUGGCGAAGGCGAGGUGCUGGACCCCAUCUGACGCUGAGGCGCGAAAGCCAGGGGAGCGAACGGG